rnacentral:lncRNA from 1 species
AGGGAGACCCUCACGUUCGAGGUGGUCGGGUUCCGAGGAACCUACCACGCAGUACUGGGGAGGCCAUGCUACGCGAAGUUCAUGUUCGUCCCCAACUACACCUACCUCAAGCUCAAGAUGUCGGGCCCCAACGGGGUCAUCACCGUCGGCCCCACGUACCGACACGUGUACGAAUGCGACGUGGAGUGCGUGGAGUACGCCGAGGCCCUCGCCGAAUCCGAGGCCCUCAUCGCCGACCUGGAGAGCCUCUGUAAGGAGGUGCCAGACGUGAAGCGCCACGCCGGCAACUUCGAGCCAGCGGAGACGGUUAAAUCCGUCCCCCUCGACCCCAGCAGCGACGCCUCCAAGCAGAUCCGGAUCGGCUCCGAGCUCGAUCCCAAAUAGGAAGCAGUGCUCGUCGACUUUCUCCGCGCGAACGCCGACGUUUUCGCGUGGAGUCCCUCGGACAUGCCCGGCAUACUGAGGGAUGUCGCCGAGCACUCGCUAGAUAUCCGAGCUAGAGCCCGACCCGUGAAGCAGCCUCUGCGCCGAUUCGACGAAGAAAAGCGCAGAGCCAUAGGCGAGGAGAUCCACAAGCUAAUGGCGGCAGGGUUCAUCAAAGAGGUAUUUCACCCCGAAUGGCUUGCCAACCCUGUGCUUGUGAGAAAGAAAGGAGGGAAAUGGCGGAUGUGUGUAGACUACACUGGUCUAAACAAAGCAUGUCCGAAAGUUCCCUACCCUCUGCCUCGCAUCGAUUAAAUCGUGGAUUCCACUGCUGGGUGCGAAACCCUGUCUUUCCUCGAUGCCUACUCGGGGUAUCACCAAAUCAGGAUGAAAGAGUCCGACCAGCUCGCGACUUCUUUCAUCACACCCUUCGGCAUGUACUGCUAUGUUACCAUGCCGUUCGGCUUGAGGAAUGCGGGUGCAACGUACCAACGGUGCAUGAACCACGUGUUCGGCGAACACAUUGGCCGGAUGGUCGAGGCCUACGUCGAUGACAUCAUAGUCAAGACGAGGAAAGCCUCCGACCUCCUUUCCGACCUUGAAGUGACAUUCCGAUGUCUCAAGGCGAAAGGCGUGAAGCUCAAUCCCGAGAAGUGUGUCUUCGGGGUUCCCUGAGGCAUGCUCUUGGGGUUCAUCGUCUCUAAGCGGGGCAUCGAGGCCAACCCGGAGAAGAUCGCAGCCAUCACCAGCAUGGGGCCCAUCAAGGACUUAAAAGGCGUACAGAGAGUCAUGGGAUGCCUUGCGGCUCUGAGCCGCUUCAUCUCGCGCCUCGGCGAAAGAGGCCUGCCUCUAUACUGUCUCUUAAGGAAGGCCGAGUGCUUCACUUGGACCCCUGAGGCCGAGGAAGCCCUCGGGAACCUGAAGGCGCUCCUCACGAAUGCGCCCAUCUUGGUGCCCCCCGCUGCCGGAGAAGCCCUCUUGAUCUACGUCGCCGCGACCACUCAGGUGGUUAGCGCCGCGAUUGUGGUUGAGAGACAAGAAGAGGGGCAUACAUUGCCCGUCCAGAGGCCAGUCUACUUCAUCAGUGAGGUACUGUCCGAGACCAAGAUCCGCUACCCACAAAUUCAGAAGCUGCUAUACGCAGUGAUCCUGACGCGGCGGAAGUUGCGACACUACUUCGAGUCUCAUCCGGUAACUGUGGUGUCAUCCUUCCCCCUGGGGGAGAUCAUCCAGUGCCGAGAGGCCUCGGGUAGAAUUGCAAAGUGGGCGGUGGAAAUCAUGGGUGAUACGAUCUCGUUCUCCCCUCGGAAGGCCAUCAAGUCCCAGGUGUUGGCGGACUUCGUGGUUGAAUGGGUCGACACCCAGCUCCCAACAGCUCCGAUCCAACCGGAACUCUGGACCAUGUUCUUCGACGGGUCGCUGAUGAAGACAGGUGCAGGCGCAGGCCUGCUCUUCAUCUCGCCCCUCGGGAAGCACCUAUGCUACGUGCUACGCCUCCACUUCCCGGCGUCCAACAAUGUGGCUGAGUAUGAGGCUCUGGUCAACGGUUUGCGCAUUGCCAUCGAGCUAGGGGUCUGACGCCUCGACGCUCGCGGUGACUUGCAGCUCGUCAUCGACCAAGUCAUGAAGAACUCCCACUGCCGCGACCCGAAGAUGGAAGCCUACUGCGAUGAGGUUCGACACCUGGAAGACAAGUUCUACGGGCUCGAGCUCAACCACAUCGCCCGACUCUACAACGAGACUGCGGACGAGCUGGCUAAUAUAGCCUCGGGGCGAACAACGGUUCCCCCGGACGUCUUCUCCCGAGACCUGCAUCAACCCUCCGUCAAGACCGACGACACGCCCGAGCCCGAGAAGCCCUCGGCCCAACCUGAGGCACCCUCGGCUCAGUCCGAGGUACCCUCAGCUCGGCCCGAGGCACCCUCGGCCCAACCCGAGGCACCCUCGACUCAGUCCGAGGCACCCUCGGCCCAUCCCGAGGCACCCUCGGUUCGGCCCGAGGUACCCUCGGCCCCCGAGGGUGAGGCACUGCGCAUCGAGGAGGAGCGGAGCGGGGUCACGCCUAAUCGAAACUGGCAGACCCCGUACCUGCAAUAUCUCCACCAAGGAGAGCUACCCCUCGACCAAGCUGAAGCUCGGCGGUUGGCGCGGCGCGCCAAGUCGUUCGUCUUGCUGGGAGACGGGAAGGAGCUCUACCACCGCAGCCCCUCAGGCAUCCUCCAGCGAUGCAUUCCCAUCGCCGAAGGUCAGGAGCUCCUACAAGAGAUACACUCGGGGCUUGCGGCCAUCACGCAGCGCCUCGAACCCUUGUUGGAAACGCCUUUCAACAAGGUUUCUACUGGCCGACGGCGGUGGCCGACGCCACUAGAAUUGUCCGCACCUGCGAAGGGUGUCAGUUCUAUGCAAGGCAGACCCACCUGCCUUCUCAGGUCCUGCAGAUGAUACCCAUCACCUGGCCUUUUGCUGUGUGGGAUCUGGACCUCGUCGGCCCCUUGCAGAAGGCACCCGGGGGUACACGCACCUGUUGGUCGCCAUCGACAAAUUCUCCAAGUGGAUCGAGGUCCGACCCCUAAACAGCAUCAGGUCCGAAUAGGCGGUGGCGUUCUUCACCAACAUCAUUCAUCGCUUUGGGUCCCGAACUCCAUCAUCACCGACAACGGCACCCAGUUCACCGGCAGAAAGUUCCUGGACUUCUGCGAGGAUCACCACAUCCGGGUGGACUGGGCCGCCGUGGCUCACCCCAUGACGAAUGGGCAAGUAGAGCAUGCCAACGGCAUGAUCCUGCAAGGGCUCAAGCCGCGGAUCUACAACGACCUCAACAAGUUCGGCAAGCGGUGGAUGAAGGAACUCCCCUCGGUGGUUUGGAGCCUGAGGACAACGCCGAGCCGAGCCACGGGCUUCACACCGUUCUUUCUAGUCUAUGGGGCCGAGGCCAUCUUGCCCAUAGACUUAGAAUACGGUUCCCCGAGGACGAGGGCCUACGCCGACCAAAGCAAUCAAGCUAAUCGAGAAGACUCACUGGACCAGCUGGAAGAGGCUCGGGAUAUGGCCUUACUACACUCGGCGCGGUACCAGCAGUCCCUGCAACGCUGCCACGCCCGAGGGGUUCGGUCCCGAGACCUCCAGGUGGGCGACCUGGUGCUUUGGCUGCGACAAGACGCCCGAGGGCGGCACAAGCUCACGCCUCCCGGGGAAGGGCCGUUCGUCAUCGCCAAAGUUCUAAAGCCCGGGACGUACAAGCUGGCCAACAGUCAAGGCGAGGUCUACAACAACGCUUGGAACAUCCAACAGCUACGUCGCUUCUACCCUUAAGAUGCUUUCAAGUUGAUCAGAUCUUGACAGUUGAAGGGAGCAGCAGCACCCUCGGCAUCAACUACACCUUCGGCGAGGUCCAACCUAGCCUCGGACGGCGAAGCAGUCGGAGAAUCUCCACUCUGAAGGACGACAUCAGCACCACGCCCGGGCCAUCGCUGCCAGGGUCUUCUCCAGGAAUCCGGCCUGAGCAGACGGCUCGGCCGGCCACCCCGAGGUCUCGGCCAGCUGCCUCCCGAAGACAUCGGCUUGGUUUGUGGCCUCGGCAACUCAACUCCGGCGUCGGUCCCGCCAGCGGACGACCCGGCCAGGCUCCGGCCGACCAAGUCUUCUUUUCAAAGCCAACUCUUCCUCUGUUCGAGCUGACACCGCUACCCCCGGCUUCGGCUCAUCGAAGAGCGGCCGAGGGGUUCCUUUAACUAAGCAAGAGAAGCCUCGGACAGCAAGGCCGACCGAGCCGAGGGACUCCUACGCCUCCGGGAUACGGAUACCUCACUCGUCACCUUUGCACGAGACAACUCACACUUGGUGAAGCGGUUUAGAUAGCCAGCAGGCGAGUCUUAGUGCUCGAAAUGAAGAAAAAACACGGCUCCGCGCCAAAAAUACACACAUGUUCAGGCCCCGACAGCCACAAUGAACAAAAACACCGGCAUUCAAGAUGCCAUUACAAACAGAACUUCGGUUCCACCUCCGCAGGUACGAACAACCCCACACGAUUGGCGGGCCUGCGGAGCAACAGAAGGCCGACAGACGGCUCACCGUCGCCCGCUCCAGCAGCAGCGACAACGACCCCCGCUACGGGUGGCCGAACUGCAGCAGCGAUGGCCUUAGGGCGGACGCUGCUGCAACCUUGCCCUCGCCCACGCCGACACUCGAGGGGCGAGGAGAAGUACAAAGAGCCGGAGGCCCGAAGCGCGGAUGGUGGCGGUGAUCCCAUCAACGACGGGGACUUCUCGAGCCGCCCCCACCUCGGCACCAACUACAGGAGCCGUCAGCCCACCGGCAGAUCCCCACUCAGAUCCUCCCGGACGAGUGGAGCACCGACCUCCGCGCGGAGGCGCCGUACCGGUGCAAAGGCAGGACAGCCCCAGAACAUGAACGCCGCCCUAGCAGCGCGCGACGUCUUGGGCGGUCCUCCCGUGCGCGCGGCGCGACAACCGCCCUUGCGGCAGGAGGGGGCACCGGUAGCCAAGCCGGCGAGCCCAACGCGCUGAAGCUGACGACGCCCGCCGUCGACCAGCCCCGCGUUGUCGAAGUCCGCCCCUCUCGCAGGGCCAGUGAGCGCCCUCUCCCUCGAAUGCUGAAGGAGAGGCUGACCCACGAACCCGUGCGGGAGGUAGAGCUCCGGCUCAGCCCGGCCUCCGCCCCAGCGAGGAUGAUGAACAUCCUUGAAGCUGAGGGCGGGACCAAGAUCGCAGCCCGGCUUGCUUCUCCCCACCCAGGGGCUGGUGGUCACCGUCUUGGGUGACCACCGGCGAGGGGAUGCAGCCGGGCUGACUGAUGAAAAUCCUUGAAGCCGAACGAUGGCUGAAAGGUACCAACUUCCACGAAGUUGUGUUCCUCCAACGACAAGGCGGAAGGAUUGCGGGUGUCCCCCAUCUGGGGGCUCGGAAGGUGGAAAGACACGGUGCAUAAGGGAGUGCGAAGACAUGGUCGCCUUUCAAGGGGGUCACCCUCCUUUUAAAGGUGACUCUCCCUACUUGCGUCCCUAGCCGUCGUGGGCUGAGUCUUCUCCAACACGCUCCAAGGUCCUCCCCUUACGGCGCGGGGGCUGGGUCCCACGCGUCAUGCAAGCUGGCCCAAGGCAGAAGAAGCCAAACCGCCGCGCGCGGUGCAUGCAACUGCCCAACGGUUACAAGCAUUCCUCUACUUUCGCCCAGACCAGCGGGUGAAAGGGCGGACAGCCAUGCAGUCGGCACGCAACCGCGCCAAGUGGGUGCACCCCUCCGACUUCCAACGCACCCAGCAUGGAGGCCCAGGCCCACGCGUCAUGCAACCGGCGCGCCGGUCGCUACGUGCGAGCAACUGCACCGCCACUCGCACCACUACCACGCCUCCUCGACUGCGGAACCAGUACCGCGACUCGAGGCAACCCUGCGUACGACCCAGCAGUGCCAGUCAGGCGCGACGGUCAAUACGGCCAAAAAUGGGCCAGCAGCAAUGGCGGUGGCAAGCGGGCAGGAGCAGCGGUCACGUCGUCCGCCAAGCUCACGUCACCUCGUGGGACAGCGAGAGAACCCUCUCUCACGGCGUGAAGACGACGCGCCUGUGUUCCGUUCCUCGAACGGCUCACGCACGUGCAACGGCCAUCUUGCGAACCACUCGCCCCGUCGCAUUAACUCCACGGCGGGACAGACGGCGCCUCAGGCAGGAGAAGCAAGCGACGCUUCGCCUUCGCCAUAAUGACCGCGUCAAAAAAGGUACGCCACGUCAUUCGAUUUCGUAUCCUUUUCCUUUUCCUCUUUCUCUCUCUUACAACGGGGACCGGGAAAGGGGGAUACCCCGAAAAGGAUCCUUAUCCGUGAAGGAAACAGGCCCGAGCCUCCCUACUGAUCAGAGGUUCAAAGGCUGGCCCCUCGGAGGGGUUUAACAGCCGCCUCAGAGCACUUGGGUUCCACGCCCACUACUGGUCAGAGGUUCGAAGGCCAGCCCCUCUGAAGGGUUCAACGGCCGCCUCAGGGCACUCGGGCUCCGCGCCCACUACUGAUCAGGGGUUCGUAGGCUGGCCCUCGAAGGGUUCACAGCCGCCUCAGACACAAAGCGAGGGAUGACCCUGGGUACGUUCGAUACAUAACCAAGGCUCGGGCUACGCUCCCGAGGUACCCUAGGACAUUUCCGAGACCAACGGGAACGAUCUUGUAACGGAAUCCCAUCAGAGGGAGGCAUCGAACCCUCGGACCCCGUCGAAAGGGGACCGGGUCCAGCAGAUCACCCGUAGGUACUUUUGGAGCGCGCCUCCGGGCCUCUAGCUGACCCUUAACAAAUGGGGCACGGGCGUCCACUCGGAUUACCCGUCAUCAGCUCACCGGAGACACCAUGUUCGGCGCCCUCCAAGGGCAACAUGGCGCUUUCCCCCCUCCUCCUUGCGGAAAGGCGACGCAGGGGCGUAUGUAAAAAAGUCGAGUCUGUCCUUGACCGUCCUCUCGCCCUGUGCAGAGGCUCGGGGGCUGCUCCCGCAAACCCGGCUCCGGCCAAACCGUUGACAGCGUCAACAUACCAGCCCGAGAACUUGGGACCCGACCGUGCACCCGGGCUACGGCCAGCUCGCAUGAGGGAACAACCAGACCAGCCGAAGCAUUGCGCGAGGCAUUAAGACCUCGAAGGAGUAAAACCACUCCUCCGAGGCCUCGGGGGCUACACCCGGCGGGUGCGCUCGCGCGCACCCACCGGAGCAAAACGCAACCGAGAAAGGCUGGUCCCCUUGCAAAAAAGUGCGACAAAAGACUCCAAGCGAGUAUUAACACUCCCUUCAAGGCUCGGGGGCUACUGUCGGGGACCAUAAUUAGGGGUACCCUCAAGGCUCCUAAAUCUCAGCUGGUAACCCCCAUCAGCACAAAGCUGCAAAGGCCUGAUGGGUGCGAUUAAGUCAAGGAUCGGUCCAUUCGAGGGACGCGAUCACGCCUCGCCCGAGCCCAGCCUCGGGCAAGGGCAGCCAACCCUGGAGGAUCUACGUCUCGCCCGAGGCCCCCCUCCAGCAACGGACACACCUUCGGCUCGCCCGAGGCCCAGUCUUCACCAAGAAGCAACCUUGGCCAAAUCGCCACGCCAACCGACCAAAUCACAGGGGCAUUUAAUGCAAAGGUGGCCUGACACCUUUAUCCUGACGCACGCCCUCCAGUCGACAGAGCCGAAGUGACCGCAGUCACUUCGCCGCUCCACUGACCGGUCUGACAAGAGGACAGCGCCGCCUGCGCCGCACCGAUUGCAGAGCCGCACGAUAGAGUGAGGCUGACAGCAGCCAAGUCCGGCCCUAGGCGCCAUGGGAAACUCCGCUCCGCCCGACCCCAGGGCUCGGACUCGGGCACAGCCCCGGACGACGACGAACUCCGCUCCGCCCGACCCCAGGGCUCGGACUCGGGCUCAGCCCCGGAAGACGACGAACUCCGCUUCGCCCGACCCCAGGGCUCGGACUCGGGCUCAGCCCCGGAAGACGACGAACUCCGCCUCGCCGGACCCCCGGGCUCGGACUCGGGCUCAACCCCGAAGGACGACGAACUCCGCUUCGCCCGACCCCAGGGCUCGGACUCAGCCCUGGCAUCAGCCGACGGUCUCCGCCUCGUCCGACCCGCGGGCUUGGACUCGACCUCGACCUUGGAAGACAGACUCAACCUCGACCUCGGAGGAGCCUCCACCUCGCCCAAACUAGGGCACGGACCGACCACGUCAACAGGAGGCGCCAUCAUUACCCUGCCCCAAGCUGACUCAGGCUACGGGGAACAAGACCGGUGUCCCAUCUGGCACGCUCCGCCAGACAAGUAAUGAUGGCGCCUCGCACGCUCUAUGAUGAUGGCGGCUCUCCGCCCCCUUACGGAAGCAAGAGGACGUCAGCAAGGACUCGACAGCCCCGACAGCUGUCCUUCCGCCGGGCUCCAGCGCUCCUCCGACGGCCACGACACCACACGAACCGGGUGCCAAAACCUCUCCGGCUGCCACGAUGGCAUGUACUUAGGGCGCUAGCUCUCCUCCGCUAGACACGUUAGCACACUGCUACACCCCCAUUGUACACCUGGAUCCUCUCCUUGCGCCUAUAAAAAGGAAGGACCAGGGCCCUCUUACAGAGGGUUGGUCGUGCGGGGAAGGACGGGACGGCGCUCGCGUGAGGCCGCUCGCUCCCUCCCCCGUGGACGCUUGUAACCCCCUACUGCAAGCGCACCCGACCAGGGCGCGGGACAAACACGAAGGCCGCGGGAUUCCACCUCUCACGCCCGUCUCCCUCCGGCUGCCUCCCCCCUUCGCGCUCCGUCUCGCGCCGACCCAUCUGGGCUGGGGCACGCGGCGAUCAUUUACUCGUCGGUCCAGGGACCCCCCGGGUUUCGAAACGCCGACAAAACCAAAACUUGGCACCUGUCAGAUUUACUCUUUUCAAAUGUUGAAUCCAUCAUGGCCAUGAUGGAUUCACCAUCACAAGCUUUUUAUAAAAUUUCCCUUAUCCAGUGUGAAGCAUCAUCUUUUAAAACAAAAGCCUUUUUAUUAUCUAAGCAGAAUUAGGUAACAAGGAAUGAUAUUCAAUAUUCCAAGGAAGGAAAUGGAUCAAUAGUUUAGUUACACAACUCAUAUCACCUAAUGCAUCAUUCAAAGGUGAUAAAAUUUGUAAAAAUAAGGAAAAAGGAUAAAUGCACUAGGGUUGCCUUGUGUUGUAGGAGUAUCUAGUUCUUCCCCACAGAUGUCAAAAUAAAGAUUGUUGUCCAUAGGAGGAUCUUCAGAUAAAAGGACCACUUCUUCUACAGCAAGUUCACCUUCGUGUUCUACAUGUAAUAACGAGUAUGAAUGCUUACGUUAUGCCAUGAACAUGCAAACUUGUGUAAAUGACAUUCAUAAGAACUCCAACAUCAGGAAAUAGUUUAAACUAGUUCUCUAAUAUGUAAACCUAUUCUUAUUUCUUAUUACAAGGUUAUUCCUUUUGGGCUAGAACAUGUCCUUUGUCCAAACGGUCUCUAAACAAGUUAAAACUUUACUCAGAGGCUAGAACAAACAUAUUAAGUCUACUCAAAAGUUUUCAUGAUUUUUGGAAUUCCAAUUGUAUUUCUAAAAUUCAAAUAAACCUAUAAUAGGUACUUUUUAAUUCUAGAUAAUUUAUGUUUUGCAGUAAAAUCAUAAAAAUAUUUUUACCAAAAACAACUACAUUAUAGGAAUCUAGUAAAAUUGGUUUCAUUAUUUUACCAUUUUUCUACUGUUUUUAUGGCAAAUUAACCAAGUCAUCAGGUGAAAGAAAAAGAAACUAUGAACAACCUUGGGUCGAAAUCGACCUGCCUCGGCCUAUGAACAGAGGAGUAUGCGUGCACCCACACUAUAGAUGUCCAAUAAGCACGAGGCCCGCGAGCCCGGCACGAAGCCCGCUUUUUGGGCCCGGUCUGAGCCCGGCACGGCCCGGUUAUAUGCGGGCCCGGGCCGGCCCGGCACGAAUAAGCGGGCCGGACUCGGACAGGAAAUUAGGCAAGGUGGGCUAGCCCGGCACGGGCCGUUUAGCUCUAAGCCCGUUAAGCCCGCUUUUUUACACUAAAACGUGCUUUUCGGCCCGCAUAGCCCGCUUUCGGCCCGCUUUUUUCGUGCUAAACGGGCCGGCCCGGCCCGUUUAGGCCCGUUGCGGGCUGGGCUCGAACAAGAAAUUGAGCCCGCGUGCUUAGCCGACCCGGCCCGGUUUUUUAAUCGUGCCUGGCGGGCCGGGCCCAAAACGGGUCGGGCGGCCCGUUUGGACAUCUCUAACCCACACUAGCGUUGUGCACUUUGAGCAAAGGCCCCUGGCGGUUCAAGCAACCCGAGAUAAGUCCACAACACUAUUCAUUGUGUCACUGACAUGUUCACUUAAGUCCUUCCCUUUUCUAACCUUCGCAAACUCAAGUCUACGAUGACACCGCGCUCACCCGCCGGCCAUCCCUCGCCUGGACUCGCCGCGGACGGUGAGGACCAACAAAACCGAGCACCUGUCGACCAUCCCGAGUCUAGGCGGCACUAUGCCCAACACUAAUUGAACCAAUCCGACUCAGGAAGCCCUCUUCCCACGACGACGACGACAGAGCUAGAGCUCUAGCGAGGUCGUUCUCGACGACACAACGCGGUAGCGAUCAAUCACAAAGCAUGGCGAGCUUCAGUAACUUAUGGGACAAAUGUAACAACGGGCAAAAAGACUGAAAAGGGAAAAGAAUGUAGAGUUCAAUCGGCAAGGUUCACAAGAAAACAAAGAUCAUAGGGAUACUAAAACACGAGCCACGGAGGGUCAAGCUCACCUCAGGAGCUCUCGCCAAGGUGGAGCACCUCACCGUGGCGACGACGAACGAUUCUAGGGAAAUAUAAUGACUCCGAGCUAUGGUGGAUGAGAAAGGAUGGCUGAGGGUAGACUAGGAAUGUAACAGAGGGGCGGAGCAGGGAGAGCACUCGAUUUAAAGGGAUUUGCUACGGACGCCACGAAUUUGGAUGAGAUCAACCAUGGCUGUGACGAGAUAUUUCACUGAGGCUUGUUCACCGUGGCACGCUGCAAUGCGAUGGCUCAGGAAUGACAGUUUACUGCUUGCCACGAGCACAGAACAUGGUGAAACCAAACUCUGCAGGGCAUAUCAAGGGUGAACGGUAAAUUCACGAUGGCGAGCUCAUGGUCGUGAUGCAAGGCAAGUGGCACGGCUGUUAGUUCCCAAAUUCACCACCCCUCGAUCUUUUCAUCCCUUUGUUGUUAUCCACUUCAAACAUUGCAUGAAUCUCCGCUGCGGUAACACCCUAAGUCCAUCAAUUAAGGUAACCUAGAUUAAAUUAUUAAUUUCUUGUAGAAAGGAAAAUAUUUAUGUUUACAAAUAAUGAAAUGGUGAUAUAAAUAAAUCGAUCAAUCUCUUAGAAUAUAAAAUUUUACAAAGUGUUUGAUGCAUUCAUGCCGAAGCAUAGAUUUCGUUUGAAUUGAUUUUCAAAUCAAAUUCUUAGAUUUAAUUGUGUGAGAAAGAUCGUGUUUAAUAAAAUAAUAAUGAGUUGUUGAAAUUUUUUUGGACUAUGCAUUUUGAUAAGUUAUUAACUUUUGUUUGAAAUUAUUUGCAAGAAUCCCAUUUUAUAGACUGAUCUCUUUUUUUUAAAGCUCACUUCAUCUAAUUAUUGGAAUUGUCCUAAAAUAAUUUGAAUAUUUUCAAAAUAUAUAUUUUAUUUAUGUAAAUAUUAUAUUUGGUUUUAUUAUAUUUUUUGGAAUAUAUACAUCUAAUAUAUAUUCUUUUAUUUAAAAAAGAAAGAAAAGAAAUUCGAAAUAAAAAAUAAAAAAAACGAAAACCUAACUACUCUGCAUGCUCGAGCCGCUUGCCCAUUCCAGCCCAAAUGCCUGACGCCCAGCCUUCUCAUUUUUUUUUCUCGUUUGUUCCAUUGACCGAUGGGCCCCACUCAACAUUUCUUCCUUGUGGCUCCUUCUCCUGUUGGCUCUACGAACGGAAGCGCAGCCGCCGUCGCUCCAUGUCCAGUUGCACACCACGCUCGGCACCAGGGCUCUCCACGGCCACUCAUGGAAGGCUCGACCCGGUCCUCUCCUCCACUGUGGCACUGCGACGACAGUUUCUUCCAUCCCUAACUCUAUUCGUUUCAGCUCCCACCAUUAACGACGUCGGCAGUUUCUAUUCCACAACAUCAAUGGUGCUCGUCCCUCUCAUCAUCGACGUCUUCUCCCCUCCCUCCCCUGUGGCUAUAUAAGCCGAUGCUGGCCACACUCCCCACCCUGCCCCAGCUACUCGUCUCACCUCCACUGCCACCCACCUGCUCCCAUGUCAUCCUAGCCAAGUCCCUUUCAUCGGCCAUCAGGGUCGUACCAGAGGGGGUGCGGAGGGUGCGGCCGCACCGAGCCCCCAAAAACAGAGAGCCCCUUAGUCACUGGACGUUAGCACUUUUUCCUAUUAAACAUAUCUAUUCUAAACACAAAUAUGCAAAGAGCGAUGCGCUAUCGAUCAGUUUCGUUUAGAUUGUUAAACUAAUGUCUCAAUUACUUAUCGAAUACUCCAUCUCUUUCAAAAUAAUAUUUGUUUUAGCUCUUGAUUUUUAUGUUUAUAUUCAACUAUAUAAUGAUGAAUCCACUAAAGAAGCAAAACAAAUUCUAUUUUGAUAUGGAGAGAGUAUUAUUUACUAUACACAUGAUGGUUGCAUCGACAGAGAGAAGCUUUUUAAAAUUGAAAUAUUUUUGAACUAUUUAUGGUCAACUAAACUCAAUAGAGGUUAAAUGGCUUGCCGAUUCUAUAUAUCGAAAAAAGUUGUUGGAUGAGAUUGAUCUCAAUAAUAUAAAUGAUGACUUUGUAUCACAAAAUGUUAGAAGAUAUUUUUAAUAAUAUCAUAUAACAAGUAAGUGUUUUUGGCUAUAUUUUACAUUUGUUAUCUUAUAAACUUUAAAACAGUGCAUAAUAAUUUUUAUACGUCAAAUAUUCGAUACUACAUGUAUAAUUAUAUAUAUUUGUGUAUGGAUAAGGCCUCCAUAUCGGAUUUCACACUGGGCCCCCGAAAAGUCAGGAACGGCCCUGCCGGCCAUGAACUUGAUGGCACAGCCUCGCCCUCGCUUCGCCCUGCUUGCUGCUCGCCCGCCGUGUCGAGUGCUUGACGCCGCUCUGCGCCCUCAUCAAAAGUUGUCCGCCUGCAACCUCGCCGGAGCGCUCCUCACCAGUGACUACCCACACCGCAUCCAGAGGUCCUUUGUCGCCAAAGGCCUGUGCCUUUCUCUACAUGUUAGUGUUUGCUGUUGCGGUCUCGUGCUGCGCUGCGGUGCUGCUUGCCGUCGCUGGAGGCCGUGCCGUGAACUCGCUGGAGCUCGUCCAGUGCACCUGCUCACAGAUGCUAUGUUUUUGACAUUCAAUGACGCCGAAGAUUCUCACCUCCGCGUCGUUGUUCCUGGUUCCACAUCACGACCUCGCGCCGACACCCUGCUCCUGUGUUGUUCUGCUCUUCGAAGGUAGAAGACAUGGCCUUCUUGCAAUCUAGCCCUUUUUUGUGGUCUAGAUAUAAAUAAAUGAUUUUUUGUGUUGUUUGCUACAUAAAUUCGUGCGAAAUAUUAGUGCCAGCAUCAAUGUACAUAUUUUCGUAAUUUCAUUUAAAUUAUGGUUAUUAUAAUUGCUUUGUGUAUAGUUUUAUAAAUAAGAAAUUAAAUCGAAUUAUAACCUUAUGUUUUAUAACAAAGAAAACAAGAGAUAAUUAUUUAUAACGAGACAUGUAUAGAAAAAUAUAAAUGUAUUAGCUACCACUAGCUGGAUUUAAUUACGUAAUUUUGAUUAUUUGGAAUCUAAACAAUUUAGAAAUAGUUCAAUUAAUUUCAUAAUUAUGUGAUUAACAAUUUCAAUUGAUAUCUACACUGGUUUUCGUAUUUUUCGUAAUUUAAAUUAGAGUUAUGUUUUUGUUAACAACAAAUUUAAAAGGUAGCACAUAUGUUUUAUCAACAAAAAUAUAAUAUAGUCAUUUAUUUAGUUAAAUAUCUUUGUUCAUAAAAUAUAAUUUAGUUUCAUGUUCUAUUUCGAUAUAUAUAAGUACAUUGCCUAGAAUUUUAUAAAAAUGAUAGUUUAUACAGUUUCCUUUCAAAUGAUUUAGAUCAUAUGUGCCUAAAUUAAAACUAAAUAUAAUUAAUAGAUUAAUUAUCUUUUCUCAUAAUUUAUUAAUUAGACUUAUAUUUCAAUUUGUCCAUAACUAGUAAUAUAGGCGUGAUUAAUACGUUCAUCAAAUUGAAUCCAUAAUAUUUAUAUAUACUACUUAGUUUUUCCUAAAGGAUAAAAUAAAGAAAUUUGUGUUCAUGUUCUUUAUAUAAUUAAAAUGUUAGUUUAUAUGUUGUUUUGUAUAUGACUUUCUUAAUAAAAAUAGAGUCUAGUGUUUUCUUAAGCAAAAGUGAAUAUAAUUAAUUGAUUAAUUAUCUGUUGCAUAAAAACCUAUCUAGGCCAUUUAUUUUCUUAAUGAAAUUUAAUAUAAUUAUCAUUUUAAUUUCCCUUCCACAUAAAACUCGAUUAGGCUUAUAUAAUAACUUUUCAUUAAUAAUUGUUUUACAAUAUAUUUUGUAAUGUUUCAUAAAUCAAUGUUUAAUAUGUUUCAUAACUCAUUAACCAUAGACAUAUAGCAUAUAUAUUUUCUAAACGGUUAAAAGGUUUAAUAAUGUUAUAAUGUGCUUUAUCAUCUUAUGAACCCUUAAUCUUAGACAUACCACAUAUGACUUUUAUAAAAUACUAAAUUGGUAAACCUAAUAUUUGUAUAUUUUAAGAUAUAUUCAAGCUUAGGUCUUGUUUUAUAAAGUAUAGAUCACACCUUUUCAAAAAGGAAUACCUUUUAAUAUAACCAUUGUUUGUGAUGUUUUGAAAAAUAAAUGCUCUUUUGUUAUGUUUUUCUUUUAGCUUGGUCUAUGAUGAAUGUUUUAUGUUAUUGAGUGGUGUUUGUUUCUUCUUGUUUGUUUGUGUGAUAUUCAGUGGUUGAUCUAGUAGUUGAGAAUCAAGAUCUAUUUUGUGGAAUAAUGUCAAGUUUUCUAUAAGCAAGGCAAGUGGACUUCUCCCUCUACAUAUUCUGUCUGAUCCCAUACAAUACAUUUAAUAAAGUUUACUUUUGGAUAUAUGCAUAAUUUGAUGGGUUACCUAUUUAGGUACCCUUCACCUUUCCAACCUUAUUCCUUGUUUAACCUGGGAUUACUAUUUAAUCAAAUAGCUAUGCUAUUGCUACCAAUUUAUUUUUAUUAUGUCACUCUUUAAUCAUAUCAAUGUUCCAAAUGGUAAGUUUACAGUAUUGUUGUUAAUCCAAUGAUUAAGCAAGAUCAUAUUGUGAUAAUUGGAACAUGGAGUGACCACCCAGGAAAACAGUGCAACCACGAGUGCUAUCAUGGCUCUGGCUUUGGUAAUUAGCUUUAUAUGCUUAGUGCCUAGCAACCUUACCUGAAAUAUGGGCAAGAGGGGGAGCGACAGUGGUGGGAGCUCACGUUAACAUGGGGACGUAUUCUUGGCUAAGGUACCUCACCCAGAGGGCCUCCACUCCGACUUGGAAACCUUAGCGGGUUGCUUUGUAUUAAGUGUAUUCUGUGAAAGCCUCAUAGUGGAUCCCUAGCCAUUCACCUCGGAAGUGUUUACGGGUUUGGCCGACCCAUGCUAGAGGGGAUACACGGCUUGUGGGUAAAGUUGUACCACCUCUAUAGACUGUAAAACUGAUAUAUCAGUCGUGCUCACGGUUAUGAGCAGCCUGGACCCUCACAUGAUAAUCAAACUUGAAGAUGAAAAUAAAUCAUGGACCUUUAUGGUUCAAGUGGUUAUGAGCUUAUGCUGAUUAUGAAUUAUGCUUAAUUGGGUUUGGUAUAUACUUAUACCUAGUAAUCAGGUGUUGAUAAUAAAAUGUUGACCAACUAAAAUGCUAACCGCAUUAAAAUUUAGCCUUACCUUGUUACCUUGCAUUUUCACCCCACUUACUGAGCCCCGACCAUAAGUGAGCUCACCCUUGCUAAAUUUUUGAUCAGAAGUUUGCAGAUGAAGAUAUGAUGCCGAACUCCAUGGAUGCUAGUCUAGUGAUACCCCCAGUCAUCUUCCUGUGGAAGGAUGUCCAUGUUUCGCUGUACUUUGAUGAAUAAAGGUUAAGACUUCAUGUCUGUUCGAAGUGUAAUAAGUUAAUAUAAUCUUUAUUUACACUUUUAUGCAUUGUUCUUUUGAUAUAUUACACUUGUGACGUCAACAUAUGUGUGAAAAUAGAUCCUGGCACACAUAUGCUAUGCAUUCGGUUUUGCCCUUGAAACCGAGUGUGACAGCUGCGAGCUUGGAUCACAACGCAAGAUCAUCGGCAGUGAUGUACACUAAAUCCGCGCGAAUCUUGUUCAGUUAUUGAAAAGUCUGAACUAUCCCCCUUCGAGCUAAUUGACAAAGAGAGUUUGAGGGCAUUUUACUCCCAUUCUUGCACAGCACCAAGUCCAACUCAGUAUAGAUAAUUUGUGCACCAAUGUAUGGUCUUGAACUUUACUAUAGUGACCAUGGCAAAGCUCCAAAGUUGUGUAAAAGUCACUGCAAAUUUCAGUUUUAGAACACUUCUUGUCUGACAGCCCCACUUUAUGUGUGUUUUCACUAAGUUCCAUGUAGUUUUAGCGCUAGGCCACUUAAUCAAAUUGGCACUACUAUAGUGUCUCUACAACUUUUUCUAUGACUACUUUUUACAAAACACUUAUGGAUUAGAAGUUACAAGGGUUCAAACUUUUCUCAUUGUCACUGUUUUUCAGAGCUCAAAAUUGAGGCACUUGUGAACUCUUGCUAUUUUCUCCAAACUUUUCCACAAAACUUGGAAAUCUCCAAAUGAGGAAGUUAUUGGGCUCUCAAAACUCUACAACUUUGAUAUAUGGACCUUUUCCAAAAAUUGGCUAGAUCUUAAAACCUCAUUUGGGUAUCUAAUUAGGGUUUUGGAGCUCUUAAUCACCUCUAAGUGCUCUAACUUUACUAAUCCUCACCCCUUAAGUAUGACUACCAAACUCAAACAAGAUCACUCCUUUAUGCUUAAGUCACAAGACCACUUGUUACUAACCCAUGAGGUGCUUCACCCUACUAGCUUAAGUAAUACUCUUACUAAGCCAUAUACUACACUAACAUCACAUCACAUGUUUUCUUGAUGUUUUAGCCAAGUAAAUGCAUUCUAGGUGUAUCACCACAAAAUGAUGCUAGUGCACAUGAUGAUAUGUCAGGUUUUAGUUCUUGUAACACCAAGGGUGUUAUAAUAAAUUACAUUGUUUAUAGAGUGAAUUUUGAGAUAGGGGAUGUGAUAGAAUAGCUGCUCAAGACAUCCUCGAGCCCUUAAUAUUAUGGUAUAUAGGAAUACUAUAAUAGUCUAAGUUAAAUGAUGUUUGGUUGAACAUAAAAAUAUAUGGUUUCAAUAACUUGAUUUAGUUAAUACUAUGAUAUUUUUAUGGUACUUAUUACUUCACUCAAACCAGACCAAAAGUUCUAUCUCGGUCACUACAUCGCGCACUCUUUUUUCCCGUACUCCCACGUGGAUGUCGUGGGACCUUUUCUUUUCACUUUCUUACCAUCUUGUAGUCUUGCCACUACCACCAGGGUGUUUCCAUCACCAUGUCACCACCUCAUCCACACCAUCCAUGCAAGUCGGUAUGCGAUUUCGUCCUCCUCUUCGUUCCUUUAUCAUUGAACUUGGAUUGUCCCUCUCUUUUCCUCGAUUAGAUCAACAAAGCGAUAAAAAUAUAGGGGAUUGGUGCACCAAUCUGGCCACCGGUGAACUAUACUCUUGGGCAUCUAUGAGUUCGUUUGUGUCCAUGUCCUGACCUAAUACGACAAUCAUCUCCCUUGCUUUUUUCUAUAGAAAGUGCUUCAUGUACAAUCCACCCAUAUGACUGAAAUACAACCAACUUUAAUAUAAGGUUGCGGUUGUCUCUUGUUCUGAACUAAUGAAUCAUAAGCCAUUAGAUGACUCUAGCCCUACCUAAGUCUGCCUCUGGAAUCGUAUGUGUGGCAGCGCUCUUUUCCUAUAAUACGAGUAGACAUAGUAGGUUCAUAUCGCAUGGUGUCCCUCCUUCCUGAUAUGUCCUAACAUACCAUGCAUGCCUAAUUCAAGCCAGC